AGAGUUUGAUCCUGGCUCAGGACGAACGCUGGCGGCGUGCCUAACACAUGCAAGUCGAGCGGAGGCAGUGGAAGGCGGAAGCUGGAAGCUGCCUUAGCGGCGGACGGGUGAGUAACACGUAGGCAACCUACCCACCACACGGGGAUAGCCCUGGGAAACCGGGGGUAAUACCCGAUGACUUUAUAGGGCGGAUGCCUUAUAAAGAAAGGCCGGAAGGCGGUGGUGGAUGGGCCUGCGGCCCAUCAGCUAGUUGGCGGGAUAACAGCCCACCAAGGCGACGACGGGUAGCCGGCCUGAGAGGGUGGUCGGCCACACUGGGACUGGGACACGGCCCAGACUCCUACGGGAGGCAGCAGUGGGGAAUAUUGGGCAAUGGGGGAAACCCUGACCCAGCGACGCCGCGUGGAGGAAGAAGGCCUUCGGGUUGUAAACUCCUGUCACCGGGGAAGAAGAGGACGGUACCCGGGGAGGAAGCCCCGGCUAACUACGUGCCAGCAGCCGCGGUAAUACGUAGGGGGCGAGCGUUGUCCGGAAUUACUGGGCGUAAAGGGCGUGUAGGCGGGGCUGCAAGUUGCGGGUAAAAAACCAGGGCUCAACCUUGGGGGUGCCUGCAAAACUGCAGUUCUUGAGGGCGGGAGAGGAGAGUGGAAUUCCCGGAGUAGCGGUGAAAUGCGUAGAUACCGGGAGGAACACCAGUGGCGAAGGCGGCUCUCUGGACCGGCCCUGACGCUGAGGCGCGAAAGCUAGGGGAGCGAACGGGAUUAGAUACCCCGGUAGUCCUAGCCGUAAACGAUGGUCACUAGGUGUGGGUGGUGAUAAGCCAUCCGUGCCGGAGCUAACGCAAUAAGUGACCCGCCUGGGGAGUACGGCCGCAAGGUUGAAACUCAAAGGAAUUGACGGGGGCC
rnacentral:rRNA from 1 species